rnacentral:rRNA from 1 species
CCUACGGGUGGCAGCAGUGAGGAAUAUUGGUCAAUGGACGAGAGUCUGAACCAGCCAAGUCGCGUGAAGGAUGACUGCCCUAUGGGUUGUAAACUUCUUUUAUAUGGGAAUAAAAUGUUCCACGUGUGGGUUUUUGUAUGUACCAUAUGAAUAAGGAUCGGCUAACUCCGUGCCAGCAGCCGCGGUAAUACGGAGGAUCCGAGCGUUAUCCGGAUUUAUUGGGUUUAAAGGGUGCGUAGGUGGAUUGUUAAGUCAGGUGUGAAAGUUUUGGGCUCAACCGUAAAAUUGCAGUUGAAACUGGAAGUCUUGAGUACAGGAGAGGUAUGCGGAAGUCGUGGUGUAGCGGUGAAAUGCUUAGAUAUCACGAAGAACUCCGAUUGCGAAGGCAGUUCACUGGACUGCAACUGACACUGAGGCACGAAAGUGUGGGUAUCAAACAGGAUUAGAUACCCUUGUAGUC